GCCCGUCAAGCCAUGGAAGCCGGGGGUGGCCUGAAGUGCGCUGCCGCAAGAGCGUCCUAGGGUAAAACCGGUGACUGGGGCUAAGUCGUAACAAGGUACC
rnacentral:rRNA from 1 species